rnacentral:other from 1 species
AGUGCCACAGCUGUACUGAAGGGACAUUUGUAGCCUUGUAUUUAACAGGACUUUAUCCUCCUGGAGAACCACCUUGGGUGUAAUGCUCAAAAUAGUUUGUCUUUAAAUUCUUUUAGUUUUCCAUUUUGUUGCACUUUAAAGGAACACCAAGAAACC